GAAGCGCGUCAUUUUAACGGCGACAGCGACGCUGAGCAAAGGCUUAAAUAAGAAGCCUCCGCCGAUUUGCUAAUGAUCGUUAGCGUCGGGGCUCAGUCGCCCUGUGCAACCUUCCAACCUGAACUCAGUCACUCACCACUGCGCCCAAUUAAUAUUUCAAUUUCACACGCUCAUUUUCACCGGAUGCUGCACCGUUGAGGCCGGUUGUCUUGAAGGAGGUGGACCAAACACAGCAGGGUAACGUAAUGGAAGGAUCGGGUUUUCACCUGCCCACACACCUGACAUUACAACAACAGCGAUGACAUGAACGGUAACCGGAUGUUCGUGCCUGUCGUUGGCGGACGCAGACCGUGAUGUGAGGUGUUUAAGGAUUACCGAAGGCUGUAAAAACCCACAGACGCGUGGAAGGAAACUCCCUUUGAAUGACUCGUGUUGUUCAUGAGUCUGAGUCGAGUCUGUUAAUGUGGGACUCGAUUGUGACUCGAGCAACUUGAGUCCCCGUGUCUCAGGCCCCAUUUGAUUGAUAGGUCAUCCCAGCUACGCCAUGCAAGAAAGGCAAAUAAAAACAUGCAAUCCCUGAAGACACCCGUAAGUGCACUGCAUGUAAACACAAACACCUACUGUCCUCACAGACACUAAAAACAUGGGCAGACUAUCCACAACCAGCAUCAGGCCACCUCUCUCAAUGGAGAUAUAAGGGCCCCUGACAAAAUGGGAACAGAUGAGCGACUUGAAAACAAAUUUCUCCUGUCACAUCUUCAGCAGGCCAAGUACUGUCACACGACAGAGGCUACUAGCAUUAAACAGGUGCACUGCUCUUAAGGCAGAUCUGUGAAGAGCAGGUCUGAAGGAGGAGCCUGGCUUGAUCACAUCUUACAUACAGGAUUGAAUUCAGGUGUGAGCCCUUUCACCUACCUGCAGCAGAACCCUGGGCACUACAGCUGCUGAGGCUUAUGGGUACUAUAGUAUUUACAGGCAGAGUGAACCUGAUGCGUCGGAAACAAAGUGGAAAUGAUUCAGAACAGAAACCUGUGUGUCAUCAAUGUUCAGUAACAUCGAGGAGAUCGUUUCAAGAAAUCAAAUUAAAUGCAGAAUGAGGAGAAACGCUUCAGGAACCAAUGGCUCCUCACACCUCACUAAACACUGACGACAUCAUCAGCCCCAGCCAAUCAGCUGCACUCGUUUCCUUUGAUGAGGAAGAAGGUGCCAGCAGCCACGCCGAGCAGACCGACCGUCAGACCCAGUCCACAAAAUACCGCAGGUCCAAUGCUGGGCUGCUUCACCUCCACAUCUGGAGACAGAAACACACAGACAUUAACUUCACCUCCACAUCUGGAGACAGAAAACAGAAAGUCAGUCAGUUCUCUCUCUGAUCAGCUGUUGUCUGGUCAGUUUUCUCACCCCAGAAUCUGGUCAGUGGUUGGUUCAGAGCUGGAUGUUUCACUGAACAGCUGUACAUGUCUCCCAGCUGUGGGACGAACUCCAGUCUGGAAAUCUGGUUGAAGGAACCAUCUUUGUUAGGAUAGGGAAUGUUGAUACUCGUUCCUUCAGUCACUUCCUGUCUGUUCUUGGUCCAGUAGACUGUGACAGGAGCAGGGUAGAAACCAGUCACAUAACAGAUCAGGGUGUUGUUCUCUCCGAGCUCCACAGUAUCUCUGGUGUAGAUCAUCGGACGGGAAGGAGGAUCUGCACAGGAAGACAAAUCCUAUCAUUACUGCUAAAUAUACUGGAGUGUUUCUUUUAAUGAAGAAAGAAGUGAAAUCAUCUGCAAAAUAAACUUUGUAUUAAUACUGUGGUA